rnacentral:rRNA from 1 species
UACGUAGGGGGCUAGCGUUGUCCGGAAUCAUUGGGCGUAAAGCGCGCGUAGGCGGCCCUCUAAGUCGAACGUGAAAUCCCUGGGCUCAACCCAGGAACUGCGUCCGAGACUGGGGGGCUAGAAUCCGGGAGAGGGAUGUGGAAUUCCAGGUGUAGCGGUGAAAUGCGUAGAUAUCUGGAGGAACAUCGGUGGCGAAGGCGGCAUCCUGGACCGGUAUUGACGCUGAGGCGCGAAAGCCAGGGGAGCAAACGGG